GGCGAACGCUGGCGGCGUGCUUAACACAUGCAAGUCGAACGGAAAGGCCUGCUUUCCCUUGUGGAUUGCGGGUACUCGAGUGGCGAACGGGUGAGUAACACGUGAGUGAUCUGCCCCCAACUUGGGUAUAAGCCUGGGAAACUGGGUCUAAUUCCCGAUAGGACUGCAGGGUGGUGCCUGUGGUGGAAAACGAUUUUCUAGUGGUUGGGGAUGAGCUCGCGGCCUAUCAGCUUGUUGGUGGGGUAAUGGCCUACCAAGGCGGCGACGGGUAGCCGGCCUGGGAGGGUGGACGGCCACAUUGGGACUGGGAUACGGCCCAGACUCCUGCGGGAGGCAGCAGUGGGGGAUAUUGCACAAUGGGCGGAAGCCUGAUGCAGCGGCGCCGCGUGGGGGAUGACGGCCUUCGGGUUGUAAACUCCUUUCGACCGCGAGGAAGCCACCUGGUUGGAAGGGUGGUGACGGUAGUGGUAGAAGAAGCACCGGCUAACUACGU
rnacentral:rRNA from 1 species